rnacentral:rRNA from 1 species
CUGGCUCAGGAUGAACGCUAGCGAUAGGCCUAACACAUGCAAGUCGAGGGGCAGCACAUGAAGUAGCAAUACGGAUGGUGGCGACCGGCGCACGGGUGAGUAACGCGUAUGCAACCUACCUACAACAGGGGAAUAACCCGUUGAAAGACGGACUAAUACCCCAUAAUACAGGGGUCCCGCAUGGGAAUAUUUGUUAAAGAUUUAUCGGUUGUAGAUGGGCAUGCGUUCCAUUAGCUAGUUGGUGAGGUAACGGCUCACCAAGGCAACGAUGGAUAGGGAACUGAGAGGUUUAUCCCCCACACUGGUACUGAGACACGGACCAGACUCCUACGGGAGGCAGCAGUGAGGAAUAUUGGUCAAUGGACGCAAGUCUGAACCAGCCACGUCGCGUGAAGGAAGACGGCCCUAUGGGUUGUAAACUUCUUUUGUAAGGGAAUAAAGUGCAGUACGUGUACUGUUUUGCAUGUACCUUACGAAUAAGGAUCGGCUAACUCCGUGCCAGCCGCUGC